GUCAUCGUCAUCGUCAUCAUUCACCGUCGUAGUAGUCAUAGUCGUAAUACUCGUAGUAUCUCGUAGUAGUCGUCGAACUUCGUGUGUCAGUGUUAUUGAUAUUACGGAAAAAACAAAAAGAGAGAAAAGAAAAAAAAAAAAAAAAGGAAAAGGAAGAAAAAUGAAGAAGGAAAAAAAAAAAAUAUGCGGCGAAGAUCCGCCGAUUAUAAUUAUUUUCAAUAUCGUGGCAAUUCGACACGUCGAGUUUAAUUGGCGCAAUUAAACGCGGCCAAGACCUAUUAUCGGCGUCUUUAAAGUCUGAUCUACGUGAGAAAAAGGUCAUAUUAUCAUUACAUAUGUAUAAUCGUCAUUCUUAAUUGUAAUUUUUAUUAUUAUAUUCGUAUAAUUAUCAUUACCGUUGUGCAACUCGACGUGGAAUAAUUUUGUCGUUUGGUUUCGCUCGACGCGAAGAAAAAUUCUUGCGUCGCAAGAGACAAAAAGAGAGAGAGAGAGAGAGAGAGAGAGAGAGAGAGAGAGAGAGAGAGAGAGAGAGAGAGAGAGAGAGAAAGAAAAGAAAAAAAAGGAAAAAAAAAGAAAAGAAAAAGGGAGGGAAUGGAAUUACUGAAAUACAAAAGAACUUAAAAAAAAAAAAAAACAUAGGAGAGAAAGAGAGGGAGAGAGAGAGAGAGAGAGAGAGAAUCAUAAGCGCAAUAAUAAAAAUGAUAAUAAUUUUUCUGAAGAGCUUAGAAGAUUCUUAGAAUAAAGAUAACAAAGUAAAAAAAAAAAUUAAAAAAAAAAAAAAAAAAAAAGAAAAAAAAAAGAAAAAACAGAAGGAAAAAGAAUCCACCAUAAAGUCAUCGUAAAUAUUACAAUUUGAUGUAUUAUUAUGAUUCUUUAUUAAGAUGCUUUAUUGCGAGGCAAGUGAACCAAUAAACUUUCCAUUCUAUGGCACCCACGAGAGACUCGUCUGCGUUCCACGCGAAUUCACGCGUAUGGAAUACGAAAAAAGCCUUUGCUUUCCUAGUCGCCAACGUUCAGUUGGUGGUGUUGACGAGAGAAACGUGUAUGUGUCUCUCUCUCUCUCUCUCUCUCUCUCUCUCUCUCUCUCUCUCUCUCUCUCUCUCUCUAUAACAUACGUAAGUACAAUAGGUAUGUGUCUCCAUGUUUUUUUUAUUGGAAUCCAAUCGGUGCACAUAAUUUUUAAAUUCAACGUCGGAUACAUAAAUACGUUUCGACAUCGUCGAAGUCAAGGAUUGAAAGCAUGAAUUUGAACGAUUCUUUGCCGAGAACGAUUGUUACGGGAAAAAAAAAAAAAAAAAAAAAAAAAUUAUUCGCUUUUUUCUUUUUUUUUUUCUUUGUCCUUCUUUUUUUUCUUUUUUUUCUCCUCUUUUAGAAAUUAAUCAAAUAUACAUGAUACACAGAUAAAUACAAUAAUAAGGAUAAGUAAAUAAUAGCCGAGAAGAAAAGAAAAGAAAAGAAAAAAAAAAAAAAAAGGAGCCUCAUUCAAGAAAAUCCACUAUGUAGUCGUAAAAUAUAAUCGAGCUA